GACGAACGCUGGCGGCGUGGAUUAGGCAUGCAAGUCGAACGGUAGGUGUCCUUCGGGGCACUGAGAGUGGCGAACGGGUGAGUAACACGUAGGUGAUCUACCCUCAAGACGGGGACAACCCAGGGAAACUUGGGCUAAUACCGGAUGAAAGUAUCCUGACGGAUAUUUAAAAGAUGGCUUUGGCUGUCGUUUGGGGAUGAGCCUGCGCUCUAUUAGUUAGUUGGUGGGGUAACGGCCUACCAAGGCGAUGAUAGAUAGGCGGCCUUAACGGGUGGUCGCCCACACUGGGAUUGAGAUACGGCCCAGACUCCUACGGGAGGCA
rnacentral:rRNA from 1 species